UUGACCACUUGUUAUUAAUUAAAUACUAUCAUUUUGUUAAGACUUAUCUUUAGUAUUAACAUAAUAGUUUAAAUUACUAGCUUAAACUUUUGGACCUCAUGGUUUAAUAAUACGAGCCAUUACCCUAAAAUAUGUGGUAAUAGAGUCAAUGUACAUGUCAUCUAACUUUGUCUAAUCAUUUUGUCUUAACUAAUUUCUAAUGUCAUUUGAUAAUUUUUGUCGUCAAUUUUUAGGCUUCUAUCUUGGUUUCUCGAUUUGCAUUACCUAAAUAAACCUAUUAAUUGAGGAUAUGUGAAGAUUGACUAUAUUAAUGUUGGACCCUCCCGAGUAGUUUAAACCUUAAAGUCUUCGUUAAACAACUUGACUAAGAUAUCUUAGGAUAAAUAGUUGGUAUUCUUUAUAGUUUUAGUUAAGUGCCCGUUAAGUCUCUAUAUUUAAAAAAAAAUAAUGACUCAAGGCACUCUUACUCAUAAUUAUAUUACAAUCCUACCUUACUUUUUCUUUACUUUUAUAGCAAUACUCU
rnacentral:lncRNA from 1 species